rnacentral:rRNA from 1 species
GGCUGACGGGUGAGUAACACGUGGAUAACCUACCUAUAAGACUGGGAUAACUUCGGGAAACCGGAGCUAAUACCGGAUAAUAUUUUGAACCGCAUGGUUCAAAAGUAAAAGACGGUCUUGCUGUCACUUAUAGAUGGAUCCGCGCUGCAUUAGCUAGUUGGUAAGGUAACGGCUUACCAAGGCAACGAUGCAUGGCCGACCUGAGAGGGUGAUCGGCCACACUGGAACUGAGACACGGUCCAG